UACAGAGGGUGCGAGCGUUGUCCGGAAUCACUGGGCGUAAAGGGCGCGUAGGCGGCUCAGUAAGGUUGCGGUGAAAGCCCGGGGCUCAACCCCGGGUCGGCCGUGGCAACUGCUGGGCUGGAGCACUGUAGAGGCAGGUGGAAUUCCGGGUGUAGCGGUGGAAUGCGUAGAGAUCCGGAAGAACACCGGUGGCGAAGGCGGCAUCCUGGACCAAUUCUGACGCUGAGGAGCGAAAGCCAGGGGAGCAAACAGG
rnacentral:rRNA from 1 species